GACGAACGCUGGCGGCGUGCUUAACACAUGCAAGUCGAACGGAAAGGCCCUGCUUUUGUGGGGUGCUCGAGUGGCGAACGGGUGAGUAACACGGGAGUAACCUGCCCUUGACUUUGGGAUAACUUCAGGAAACUGGGGCUAAUACCGGAUAGGAGCUCCUGCUGCAUGGUGGGGGUUGGAAAGUUUCGGCGGUUGGGGAUGGACUCGCGGCUUAUCAGCUUGUUGGUGGGGUAGUGGCUUACCAAGGCUUUGGCGGGUAGCCGGCCUGAGAGGGUGACCGGCCACAUUGGGACUGAGAUACGGCCCAGACUCCUACGGGAGGCAGCAGUGGGGAAUAUUGCACAAUGGGCGGAAGCCUGAUGCAGCAACGCCGCGUGCGGGAUGACGGCCUUCGGGUUGUAAACCGCUUUCGCCUGUGACGAAGCGUGAGUGACGGUAAUGGGUAAAGAAGCACCGGCUAACUACGUG
rnacentral:rRNA from 1 species